rnacentral:rRNA from 1 species
GACGAACGCUGGCGGCGCGCCUAACACAUGCAAGUCGAACGAGCGAGAGAGAGCUUGCUUUCUCGAGCGGGUGGCGAACGGGUGAGUAACGCGUGAGGAACCUGCCUCAAAGAGGGGGACAACAGUUGGAAACGACUGCUAAUACCGCAUAAGCCCACGGGUCGGCAUCGACCAGAGGGAAAAGGAGCAAUCCGCUUUGAGAUGGCCUCGCGUCCGAUUAGCUAGUUGGUGAGGUAAUGGCCCACCAAGGCGACGAUCGGUAGCCGGACUGAGAGGUUGAACGGCCACAUUGGGACUGAGACACGGCCCAGACUCCUACGGGAGGCAGCAGUGGGGAAUAUUGCACAAUGGGGGAAACCCUGAUGCAGCGACGCCGCGUGGAGGAAGAAGGUCUUCGGAUUGUAAACUCCUGUUGUUGGGGAAGAUAAUGACGGUACCCAACAAGGAAGUGACGGCUAACUACGUG